rnacentral:lncRNA from 1 species
UUUGAUUAGGAUUUGAUUAAGGUUUGAUCUAGAUUUAAUUGAAAUUUAUCUUGAAGUUUGAUUAAGAUUUUAGUAGUAUUUUAUUAGGAUUAGUCUAGGAUUUAGGAUUUGAUUAGAAUUUGAUUAAGAUUUAAUUAGGAUUUGACCUAAAAUUUGAUUAAGAUUCAUUAAGAUUUCAAUUAAGAUUCUAAUUAAGAUUUGACCUAAGUUUUGUUUAAGAUUCAAUAGGAUUUUAAUUAAGAUUUUAAUUAUAAUUUUAAUUAAGAUUUGAUGUAGGAUUUAUUUAGGAUUUAAUUAAAAUUUUUAUUUUAAAUAUUUUGAAAGGAUUUUUUAUUAUUUAUUAAUUUUUUAUUCUAAUAUUUCUUUAAAAUUAUUAUUAUUUAUAUACAGGUUUAUUUUUAUAUUUAUUUGAAAUUUCUUUAUUAUUUUUAAAAAAAAUUAAUU